UCGCUGUGUGUUACAAGUGUCACACGGGAACUGCCGGGUCAUAAACCGGAGGAAGGUGGGGAUGACGUCAAGUCAGCAUGGCCUUUAUAUCCUGGGCUACACACACGCUACAAUGGGAAGGGACAAUAGGUUGCGAAGCCGCGAGGCGGAGCCAAUCCAGCAAAACUUCCCUCAGUUCAGAUUGCAGGCUGCAACUCGCCUGCAUGAAGUUGGAGUUGCUAGUAAACGCAGGUCAGCCAUACUGCGUUGAAUACGUUCCCGGGGCUU
rnacentral:rRNA from 1 species